CGCACUGCACUAUCCGGACGACACCCCCGUGAUAGUAUGCCCCAUUGAGUGUCAUUUAUACAUUCGGACGCUGGCGUGUUUAUUCACGCCUUCGGACGAGUACGAGGUCCACAUCUGCUUUUGCGGGUGCGCUCCUUGAGAUGCAGUAGCACCGAGUCUGUCUGGUGUCCAUCCUGUGAUGAGAUUGCAGGCCACGGCACGGACAAUGGUACCGGCGCUUACAAUCGCCCUUGUGGCAAACCGGACGCUUGCGUUCCACUCUCGUACAUGACCUCAGCGGGGUAGGAUUACCCGCUAGACUUAAGCAUAUUAAUCAGCGGAGGAAAAGAAACUAACAAGGAUUCCCCUAGUAACUGCGAGUGAAGAGGGAAGAGC
rnacentral:misc_RNA from 1 species